UUCAGGAGGGAGGAAGCCACUCAGGUUAAUAGCCGAGAGGGUGACGGUACCUCCAGAAGAAGCCCCGGCUAACUACGUGCCAGCAGCCGCGGUAAUACGUAGGGGGCAAGCGUUGUCCGGAUUUAUUGGGCGUAAGGAGCGUGUAGGCGGCCAGAUAAGUCUGCUGUGAAAACUCGAGGCUCAACCUCGAGCUGUCGGCGGAAACUAUUUGGCUAGAGUCCGGAAGAGGAAAGUGGAAUUCCUGGUGUAGCGGUGAAAUGCGCAGAUAUCAGGAAGAACACCCGUGGCGAAGGCGGCUUUCUGGGACGGUACUGACGCUGAGACGCGAAAGCGUGGGGAGCGAACAGGAUUAGAUACCCUGGUAGUCCACGCUGUAAACGAUGGGUGCUAGGUGUGGGCGGUGUCGACUCCGUCCGUGCCGAAGCUAACGCAUUAAGCACCCCGCCUGGGGAGUACGGCCGCAAGGCUAAAACUCAAAGGAAUUGACG
rnacentral:rRNA from 1 species